rnacentral:rRNA from 1 species
UAGGGAAUUUUCCACAAUGGGCGAAAGCCUGAUGGAGCGACACCGCGUGAAGGAUGAAGGUUUUCGGAUUGUAAACUUCUUUUCUGGGGGAACAGUUAGAGUGUACCUCAGGAAUAAGCCCCGGCUAACUACGUGCCAGCAGCCGCGGUAAUACGUAGGGGGCAAGCGUUAUCCGGAAUCACUGGGCGUAAAGCGUCCGCAGGUGGAAGAGUAAGUCAAAUAUAAAAGCCCGAUGCUCAACAUCGGUUCUGUAUUUGAAACUACUUUUCUAGAGGAUGGGAGAGGCAAGUAGAAUUCCAGGUGUAGGGGUAAAAUCCGUAGAUAUCUGGAGGAAUACCAAAAGCGAAGGCAGCUUGCUGGAACAUUCCUGACACUCAUGGACGAAAGCGUGGGGAGCGAAAAGG